rnacentral:lncRNA from 1 species
CUUUCUACAGUCUGGGUCAAUCACUGUUUUUUAUUGUUAAAAAAUGGUUAUAAUUUGACAAUUGCCCAGAUUUGUUUCUUUGCAAUACUUCUUGCCAGAAUUGAUGCGCAUCGGUCACAGCUCACGCAAAAAGAAACCAGACAGCGAAACGAUCGCUGCACGAUCUGGUCAGGGAGGGCCGCGGGGCUUCACGUCUGGUGUGAACUACACCAUAGGUUAAUAGAGCGCUGAAUGAAGGUGGCCUCCGUUCCACCACUUUGCAGCACUUCCGUGUGCGGUGUGAUCCAGGCAUUUCACUCCAGUGCAACUUUUUCUUCUUUAUUAUGUAUUAUUAUUUUGCUUAUAGUAUGAAGAAUAGGAUAGUACCCACUAACAAGUUAUUGAUUUAGAAGUCGUUCAUACUCUUCAAAAAUCCUUCCUUGUUUUCGUACCUUUGACAUCUUGCAUUUUGUGUCAGAGAUCAGGAAGGACAUGUUGUUGAUUAUUCUGGACCACAAAGUUCUGUUCUUCUCUCUUGAAGUUCUGUAGAAAUAAAGUAUGUUUUCAAUUGUCCAUUCUAGACUUUAAUCAUCUCACCAUUCUGAAACCAUGACACCCUCCAAACUAUUAUCUGUCUGUUUUUCUUCUGGACUUCAGAAGGUUCGGGUCUGAAACUAAACUUACGUGAGACUUGGACCAAAAGAUGAAGACCUCUGCCACCAUCCCAAACAGCUCCUCUGCAUCCGGGUUGGACUCUUUCAACCAGCGGGCCCUGCGGGAGGAACGCGGCUCUAAAACUCUUCAAUGACACAAAGUCUGUGUACUAUGCAGGAAUAGGUUAUUCUGGAGACGGGUUCAUACCUGUUGUAGUCCACAAACCGGAUGAGAAGUGGGUAGAAGGCGUACAGGUCUCUGACCAGAAUGGUGAACUGAUCCAUGAGCAGCUCUGUUUCGGACAUCUCGCCCCUCCCUUCAGCCCGGCUGUGCUCCUCAUCCAUCAACACAACUGCUGCUUUCUGUACAACACAACAACACAGCAGCUUCAUGACUCCACGGCCCUCAGGGAAGUUGGUUGA